UAAGUUAGAAAGGGCGCACGGUGGAUGCCUUGACACUAGGAGUCGAUGAAGGACGGGACUAACGCCGAUAUGCUUCGGGGAGCUGUAAGUAAGCUUUGAUCCGAAGAUUUCCGAAUGGGGAAACCCACCAUACGUAAUGGUAUGGUAUCCUUAUCUGAAUACAUAGGGUAAGGAAGACAGACCCAGGGAACUGAAACAUCUAAGUACCUGGAGGAAGAGAAAGCAAAUGCGAUUUCCUGAGUAGCGGCGAGCGAAACGGAACAUAGCCCAAACCAAGAGGCUUGCCUCUUGGGGUUGUAGGACAUUCUAUACGGAGUUACAAAGGAACGAGGUAGACGAAGCGACCUGGAAAGGUCCGUCGUAGAGGGUAACAACCCCGUAGUCGAAACUUCGUUCUCUCUUGAAUGUAUCCUGAGUACGGCGGAACACGUGAAAUUCCGUCGGAAUCUGGGAGGACCAUCUCCCAAGGCUAAAUACUCCCUAGUGAUCGAUAGUGAACCAGUACCGUGAGGGAAAGGUGAAAAGCACCCCGGAAGGGGAGUGAAAGAGAUCCUGAAACCGUGUGCCUACAAAUAGUCAGAGCCCGUUAACGGGUGAUGGCGUGCCUUUUGUAGAAUGAACCGGCGAGUUACGAUCCCGUGCGAGGUUAAGCUGAAGAGGCGGAGCCGCAGCGAAAGCGAGUCUGAAUAGGGCGUUUAGUACGUGGUCGUAGACCCGAAACCAGGUGAUCUACCCAUGUCCAGGGUGAAGUUCAGGUAACACUGAAUGGAGGCCCGAACCCACGCACGUUGAAAAGUGCGGGGAUGAGGUGUGGGUAGCGGAGAAAUUCCAAUCGAACCUGGAGAUAGCUGGUUCUCCCCGAAAUAGCUUUAGGGCUAGCCUUAAGUGUAAGAGUCUUGGAGGUAGAGCACUGAUUGGACUAGGGGUCCUCAUCGGAUUACCGAAUUCAGUCAAACUCCGAAUGCCAAUGACUUAUCCUUAGGAGUCAGACUGCGAGUGAUAAGAUCCGUAGUCAAAAGGGAAACAGCCCAGACCGCCAGCUAAGGUCCCAAAGUGUGUAUUAAGUGGAAAAGGAUGUGGAGUUGCUUAGACAACUAGGAUGUUGGCUUAGAAGCAGCCACCAUUUAAAGAGUGCGUAAUAGCUCACUAGUCGAGUGACUCUGCGCCGAAAAUGUACCGGGGCUAAAUACACCACCGAAGCUGCGGAUUGAUACCAAUGGUAUCAGUGGUAGGGGAGCGUUCUAAGGACAGUGAAGUCAGACCGGAAGGACUGGUGGAGUGCUUAGAAGUGAGAAUGCCGGUAUGAGUAGCGAAAGACGGGUGAGAAUCCCGUCCACCGAAUGCCUAAGGUUUCCUGAGGAAGGCUCGUCCGCUCAGGGUUAGUCAGGACCUAAGCCGAGGCCGACAGGCGUAGGCGAUGGACAACAGGUUGAUAUUCCUGUACCACCUCUUUAUCGUUUGAGCAAUGGAGGGACGCAGAAGGAUAGAAGAAGCGUGCGAUUGGUUGUGCACGUCCAAGCAGUUAGGCUGAUAAGUAGGCAAAUCCGCUUAUCGUGAAGGCUGAGCUGUGAUGGGGAAGCUCCUUAUGGAGCGAAGUCUUUGAUUCCCCGCUGCCAAGAAAAGCUUCUAGCGAGAUAAAAGGUGCCUGUACCGCAAACCGACACAGGUAGGCGAGGAGAGAAUCCUAAGGUGUGCGAGAGAACUCUGGUUAAGGAACUCGGCAAAAUGACCCCGUAACUUCGGGAGAAGGGGUGCUUUCUUAACGGAAAGCCGCAGUGAAUAGGCCCAAGCGACUGUUUAGCAAAAACACAGCUCUCUGCGAAGCCGUAAGGCGAAGUAUAGGGGGUGACACCUGCCCGGUGCUGGAAGGUUAAGGAGAGGGGUUAGCGUAAGCGAAGCUCUGAACUGAAGCCCCAGUAAACGGCGGCCGUAACUAUAACGGUCCUAAGGUAGCGAAAUUCCUUGUCGGGUAAGUUCCGACCCGCACGAAAGGUGUAACGAUUUGGGCACUGUCUCAACCAGAGACUCGGUGAAAUUAUAGUACCUGUGAAGAUGCAGGUUACCCGCGACAGGACGGAAAGACCCCGUGGAGCUUUACUGUAGCCUGAUAUUGAAUUUUGGUACAGUUUGUACAGGAUAGGCGGGAGCCUUUGAAACCGGAGCGCUAGCUUCGGUGGAGGCGCUGGUGGGAUACCGCCCUGACUGUAUUGAAAUUCUAACCUACGGGUCUUAUCGACCCGGGAGACAGUGUCAGGUGGGCAGUUUGACUGGGGCGGUCGCCUCCUAAAGUGUAACGGAGGCGCCCAAAGGUUCCCUCAGAAUGGUUGGAAAUCAUUCGUAGAGUGCAAAGGCAUAAGGGAGCUUGACUGCGAGACCUACAAGUCGAGCAGGGACGAAAGUCGGGCUUAGUGAUCCGGUGGUUCCGCAUGGAAGGGCCAUCGCUCAACGGAUAAAAGCUACCCCGGGGAUAACAGGCUUAUCUCCCCCAAGAGUCCACAUCGACGGGGAGGUUUGGCACCUCGAUGUCGGCUCAUCGCAUCCUGGGGGGGUAGUCGGUCCCAAGGGUUGGGCUGUUCGCCCAUUAAAGCGGUACGCGAGCUGGGUUCAGAACGUCGUGAGACAGUUCGGUCCCUAUCCGUCGUGGGCGUAGGAAAUUUGAGAGGAGCUGUCCUUAGUACGAGAGGACCGGGAUGGACGCACCGCUGGUGUACCAGUUGUUCUGCCAAGGGCAUAGCUGGGUAGCUAUGUGCGGAAGGGAUAAGUGCUGAAAGCAUCUAAGCAUGAAGCCCCCCUCAAGAUGAGAUUUCCCAUAGCGUAAGCUAGUAAGAUCCCUGAAAGAUGAUCAGGUUGAUAGGUUCGAGGUGGAAGCAUGGUGACAUGUGGAGCUGACGAAUACUAAUAGAUCGAGGACUUAACCA
rnacentral:rRNA from 1 species